GAGGGGUGACUAGUGACAGAGUGAGGGAGGGGGUGACUAGCGACAGAGUUAGGGAGGGAAGGGGGUGACUAGUGACAGAGUGAGGGAUGACUAGGGACAGAGUGAGGGAGGUGGUGACUAGUGACAGUCACACCCUCCCUCACUCUGUCACUAGUCACCCCUCACUCUGUCACUAGUCACUCCCUCCCUCCCUCUGUCACUGGUCACCCACUCCCUCCCUCACUCUGUCACCAGUCAUCCCCUCACUCUGUCACUAGUAAACCCUUCCUUCCCUCACUCUGUCACUAGUCACCCCCUCACUCUAGUGA